rnacentral:rRNA from 1 species
CCUUUGGAGGGUUUGAUCCUGGCUCAGAGUGAACGCUGGCGGCGUGGAUUAGGCAUGCAAGUCGAGCGAUCCUUGUUACUGAUGGAGAUUGAAGCUUCGGCUGAUUUUUCCUGAUGUAACGCUGGAUAGCGGCAAACGGGUGAGUAACGCGUGGGUAACCUACCUUAAGGAGGAAGAUAGCUUCGCGAAAGCGGAGGUAAUACUCCAUAAUCUCUAAAUUUUGAUUGAUUUAGAGCAAAGAUGGCCUCUAUUUAUAAGCUGUCACCAUAAGAGGGGCCCGCGUCCUAUCAGGUAGUUGGUGGGGUAAUAGCCUACCAAGCCUAAGACGGGUAGCUGGCGUGAGAGCGUGACCAGCCACAUCGGGACUGAGACACUGCCCGGACUCCUACGGGAGGCUGCAGUCGAGAAUCUUUCCCAAUGGACGAAAGUCUGAGGAUGCGACGCCGCGUGGGGGAUGAAGGCCUUCGGGUCGUAAACCCAUUUUAUUAGGGAGGAACGUUAGAAUGUUAAUAGCUUUCUAAUCUGACUGUACUUAAUGAAUAAGCCACGGCUAAAUCCGUGCCAGCAGCCGCGGUAAUACGGAUGUGGCUAGCGUUACUCGGUUUGACUGGGUGUAAAGGGUCCGCAGGCGGCUAUACAAGUGACAGGUGAAAUCUUUCGGCUUAACCGGAAAACUGCCUUUCAAACUGUAUGGCUUGAGGAUGGAAGAGGAGAGUGGAACUGCCGGUGUAAAGGUGAAAUUUGUGGAUAUCGGUAGGAACGCCCGUGGAGAAGUCGACUCUCUGGUCCAUAUCUGACGCUCAGGGACGAAAGCUAGGGAAGUGAACAGGAUUAGAUACCCUGGUAAUCCUAGCUGUAAACGAUGGGCACUAGGUGUUCGUUCGUAAGAAUGGGUGCCGCAGUUAACACAUUAAGUGCCCCACCUGGGGACUACGGCCGCAAGGCUAAAACUCAAAGGAAUUGACGGGGGCCCGCACAAGCGGUGGAACACGUGGUUUAAUUCGAUGCUACGCGAGAAACCUUAUCCAGGGCUUGACAUGCAGGAAGUAGUAUCCCGAAAAGGAGUCCGACCGGUAACCAAUCCGGAACUUGCACAGGUGCUGCAUGGCUGUCGUCAGCUCGUGCCGUGAGGUGUUCCCUUAAGUGGGAUAACGAGCGCAACCCUCGUCUCUAGUUGCCACUUUUAAGUUUAUCUUAAGAAGCACUCUAGAGGGACUGCCCGCGUUAAGUGGGAGGAAGGUGGGGAUGACGUCAAGUCCGCAUGGCCCUUAUGCCCUGGGCUACACACGUGUUACAAUGCCUGUUACAAAGGGCGGCGAUACCGUAAGGUGGAGCAAAUCCCAAAAAAGCAGGCUCAGUUCGGAUCGAGGUCUGCAACUCGACCUCGUGAAGCUGGAAUCGCUAGUAAUGGCGCAUCAUCACGGCGCCGUGAAUACGUUCCCGGGCCUUGUACACACCGCCCGUCAAGCGCUGAAAGUGGGGGGCACCCGAAGCUCUGAUUUUUCAAAGUCACGGUGAAUUUCAUGAUUGGCGCUAAGUCGUAACAAGGUAGCCGUACGGGAACGUGCGGCUGGAUCACCUCCUUU